UGACCCCAGGUCAGGCGGGAGCACCC
rnacentral:rRNA from 1 species